GACGAACGCUGGCGGCGUGCCUAAUACAUGCAAGUAGAACGCUGAAGAGAGGAGCUUGCUCUUCUUGGAUGAGUUGNNNACGGGUGAGUAACGCGUAGGUAACCUGCCUGGUAGCGGGGGAUAACUAUUGGAAACGAUAGCUAAUACCGCAUAAGAGUAGAUGUUGCAUGACAUUUGCUUAAAAGGUGCAAAUGCAUCACUACCAGAUGGACCUGCGUUGUAUUAGCUAGUUGGUGAGGUAACGGCUCACCAAGGCAACGAUACAUAGCCGACCUGAGAGGGUGAUCGGCCACACUGGGACUGAGACACGGCCCAGACUCCUACGGGAGGCAGCAGUAGGGAAUCUUCGGCAAUGGACGGAAGUCUGACCGAGCAACGCCGCGUGAGUGAAGAAGGUUUUCGGAUCGUAAAGCUCUGUUGUAAGAGAAGAACGAGUGUGAGAGUGGAAAGUUCACACUGUGACGGUAUCUUACCAGAAAGGGACGGCUAACUACGUGCCAGCAGCCGCGGUAAUACGUAGGUCCCGAGCGUUGUCCGGAUUUAUUGGGCGUAAAGCGAGCGCAGGCGGUUAGAUAAGUCUGAAGUUAAAGGCUGUGGCUUAACCAUAGUACGCUUUGGAAACUGUUUAACUUGAGUGCAAGAGGGGAGAGUGGAAUUCCAUGUGUAGCGGUGAAAUGCGUAGAUAUAUGGAGGAACACCGGUGGCGAAAGCGGCUCUCUGGCUUGUAACUGACGCUGAGGCUCGAAAGCGUGGGGAGCAAACAGG
rnacentral:rRNA from 1 species